GCCCCUCUGUGCAGAGCUGCCACAGUGAUGUCAGUCUGGCUGGCUCCUCCAGUCCAGUCCAGGUAGGUGACACGCGGAGUUUCAGGAUGAUUGAGGUCAGGUAGGCACAUACAAUCAUAUAGAAGCUAAUUCCAUUUGGAUGCCAACAGCAGGAGCAGGGCUACUAGCUGAACUCCUGGAAUUAAAUUAGCCAGUCACAUUUUUUGGAACAAGCUUAAAUUAGCAAAGUGACCAGCACAGUGAUUAAAACAAAACCAUGAACUAUAUCAGUGCUUUACUUCAUAGGAUUGCAGAAUUUUUGAUCAUGUAUCAAAGUGUUAGAAAUAGAUUUAUUGUCUUAUGAAGUCACAUCCCUGGUCCUUUGAACUGAACAGCCUUUGCUGCCCCAGGUGGAGAAAGAAUAGAGUUAAAUACGUUCAUUAUGACGGCUGAUUGUAUCUGUUUCAGUUAUUUACAUGGGGGCUAAUUAAGUUUGAUGGGAAAUAUUCUGUAAAAACUGAAUUUAUCUUGUCAAGCAGAUGAAUGCAAAUCAACAGGUUUAAUACAGUUUUGACGUUCUCCACUGAUGGCAGGAAAAUUAAAACAUUCCUAAGUAAAUGAAUAGCCAGGAUGUUUCUGCAGAUAUAAUUGCUUUGAUUAUCAAUGAAGAGGACUAACAUGAAAACAAGAUGAAAUAAUAUUUUUCUGCAGGGAUUCCUUUACAUACAGGCUUCCCCAGGACUCAUUGCAGCUUAUUCAAUAAUUGCAUAGCUAUAAAUAUUCUGUCUGUCUUCUGCAAAGAAUCAUAUGGCUGCAGGCCUACAGGAGGAAACCCAAAACUGCACCACACCUGCCCAGAUUUACCCAUAAGUAUCUGUAGAAGGCUUCGAUACUGACAAGUUAAAUGCAAAAGUGCUUCCUGAUCCCCUGGAAUGGAAAUCAGAAGUGUCUUACUACAGCAGAAAGCAGUUUUCCAACAGAAAAUUUAGGGAGAAAGAAGUACAUUGAAAGCCAUUGUGCGGCAGCAUCCAGCUCCAGAAUGCUCAGCAUAGGAACAGCAUUGACCUGUUGGAGCAAACCCAGAGCAAGACACCAAGAUGAGUAGAGGGAUGGAGAACAUCUCCUG